rnacentral:rRNA from 1 species
UGGGGAAUACUGCACAAUGGGCGCAAGCCUGAUGCAGCCAUGCCGCGUGUAUGAAGAAGGCCUUCGGGUUGUAAAGUACUUUCAGUCGGGAGGAAGGUGGUAAGGUUAAUAACCUUAUCAAUUGACGUUACCGACAGAAGAAGCACCGGCUAACUCCGUGCCAGCAGCCGCGGUAAUACGGAGGGUGCAAGCGUUAAUCGGAAUUACUGGGCGUAAAGCGCACGCAGGCGGUUGAUUGAGUCAGAUGUGAAAUCCCCGGGCUUAACCCGGGAAUUGCAUCUGAUACUGGUCAGCUAGAGUCUUGUAGAGGGGGGUAGAAUUCCAGGUGUAGCGGUGAAAUGCGUAGAGAUCUGGAGGAAUACCGGUGGCGAAGGCGGCCCCCUGGACAAAGACUGACGCUCAGGUGCGAAAGCGUGGGGAGCAAACAGG